rnacentral:lncRNA from 1 species
UCUCCUGUACACAGGGGGGAAAAGAUCCAACCUCACUGCUCAAUUAUCGUCACUGUGAUUCAGCAGCUGCUGUCUCCUGGGCAGGUCUGACUGCUGAUUGGGCACGGAACUUCUCAAGGUGUGUCUUUUGUCAAGAAGCUCUUGCAUUUUAAGAGCACACAGUAGACCGUGAUAGCCUCCUGCUAUGGUGUUCAGAUAUUGCUG